GAUAGGGGCGUUUAAUAGGGAAGUCUGGGCCAAUUGCCCCGCAGCCCCCGCUGCCGUUUCAGCGGCGCCGCUCACCACUGUGUGCAUGGCAGAACGUUGUUCUGCCGCAUAUGGGAAGGGGUGCGGCACAAAAACCGCUGUUGUAAGCCGGAAGACCUGCCGCGUGCGUUU
rnacentral:ncRNA from 1 species